CAUGCAAGUCGAACGAGGAUAUAUCCUUCGGGAUAUAAGCCGAGUGGCGCAAGGGUGAGUAAUGCAUAGAUUACCUGCCUCUAGGAUAAGGACAACUUUGUGAAAACGAAGCUAAUACUUAAUAAUACAAGAGGAAAUAAUUUCCAUUUGUCAAUGGGAGGGUAGCAAUACCUUUUGCCUGGAGAGGGGUUUAUGUCCUAUCAGCUUGUUGGUGGGGUAAUGGCCUACCAAGGCGAAGACGGGUAGCCGGUCUUAGAGGAUGGUCGGCCACACUGGGACUGAGACACUGCCCAGACUUCUACGGAAGGCUGCAGUCGAGAAUCUUUCGCAAUGCCCGAAAGGGUGACGAAGCGACGCCACGUGAGUGAGGAAGGCCUUCGGGUUGUAAAGCUCUGUCAGGAGUUAAGAAAUGCAAGUGUGCUAAUACCACAUUUAUUUGACGAAGGCUCCAAAGGAAGCCACGGCUAACUCUGUGCCAGCAGCCGCGGUAAUACAGAGGUGGCAAGCGUUGUUCGGAAUUAUUGGGCGUAAAGAGCACGUAGGUGGGUUUGUAAGUCAGAUGUGAAAGCCUUCUGUUCAACGGAAGAAUUGCAUCUGAAACUGCGAGUCUUGAGUGUAGGAGGGGAGAAUGGAACUUCUGGUGGAGCGGUGAAAUGCGUAGAUAUCAGAAGGAACGCCGGCGGCGAAAGCGAUUCUCUGGCCUAUUACUGACGCUCAGUGUGCGAAAGCUAGGGGAGCAAACGGGAUUAGAUACCCCGGUAGUCCUAGCCGUAAACGAUGGGCACUAAGUAGAGGGAAUUACCGAUGUUCUCUCUGCCGUAGCUAACGCAUUAAGUGCCCCGCCUGGGGAGUACGGCCGCAAGGCUAAAACUCAAAAGAAUUGACGGGGGCUCGCACAAGCGGUGGAGCAUGUGGCUUAAUUCGAUGCAACGCGAAGAACCUUACCGGGGCUUGACAUGGUAGAAGUAGGAACCCGAAAGGGUAACGAACGGUAUCCAGUCCGUAACUAUCACAGGUGUUGCAUGGCUGUCGUCAGCUCGUGUCGUGAGACGUUGGGUUAAGUCCCCUAACGAGCGAAACCCUUGUUUUUAGUUACCAGCGGGUUGUGCCGGGUACUCUAGAAAGACUGCCGUCGUCAAGACGGAGGAAGGUGGGGAUGACGUCAAGUCAUCAUGGCCCUUAUGCCCCGGGCUGCACACGUGCUACAAUGGUCGGUACAAACGGAAGCGAAGCCGAGAGGUGAAGCGAAUCCUAAAAAGCCGAUCUCAGUUCGGAUUGGAGGCUGAAAUUCGCCUCCAUGAAGUUGGAAUCGCUAGUAAUCGCGGAUCAGCAUUGUCGCGGUGAAUAUGUUCCCGAGCCUUGUACACACCGCCCGUCAAGCCACCCAAGCAGGAUGCACCCGAAAACAUUAUAUCUAACCAGGUUUACCUGGAGGAAAAUGUUGAAGGAGUGUUUUGUGAGGAGGACUAAGUCGUAACAAGGUAGUCGUAGGAGAACCUGCGGCUGGAUCACCUCCUUUCU
rnacentral:rRNA from 1 species